rnacentral:sRNA from 1 species
UACUUCGAAGGUAAGGUUGUCUAUAA